GACGAACGCUGGCGGCGUGCUUAACACAUGCAAGUCGAACGGUGAACCGGGCUUCGGCCCGGGAUCAGUGGCGAACGGGUGCGUAACACGUGGGCAACCUGCCCCAGACACUGGGAUAACCCCGGGAAACCGGGGCGUAUACCGGAUACUCUCGACCGACCUCAUGAUCGGCCGAGGAAAGCUCCGGCGGGUCUGGGAGUGGGCCCGCGGCCUAUCAGCUUGUUGGUGGGGUAACGGCCUACCAAGGCGACGACGGGUAGGCUGGUCUGAGAGGACGGCCGACGCCACACUGGAACGUGAGACACGGUCCAGACUCCUACGGGAGGGCAGCAGUGGGGAAGUAUUGCGCAA
rnacentral:rRNA from 1 species